GACAAUGGAAAUAAUGUAGAGUGCAAUUCCAAGGAAUCCAGGAAAGAACCAAAAGUUUCAAGAUGUGGAAUGUGUAACAAAGUUUUCACUAUUUUACAUGGUUAAAUGUUGCACAUCCAAUAAAGGUUUUCUCCAUCAAUCUCCCUCCCUGAUUGAAGUUCUAAGGUAUUAGUAGCUUAUAACUUCUCAAAGGCCUGAAUGAUAAUGAUAUAGUUUUAUGAAGAUACAGCAUGUGGAAUUUCUGAGAAAUGUGCAUGCAGCUGCAUACUGUAAAAGGAAGCACUAAUACAAGGCAUUCAUAAAAUCAAGAGAUCUACAAAUCAUGAUUCUUGAGGAUGGAUGCAUAAACAUCAACUGCACCUUGUCAACAAGAUGCUUGUACAAGCCCAUUGACACGCAAAGGUGUGAUCAACCAUGCACUCUGGCUAAAACAUCAACCGUUAUUGGAAUUGGAAGCAUAUCAGAAAAUGUAUUUCUGUCUUUUACCCAUCACCUAUACCUCAUUAUUACGUCUGUGUUUUCCUCACAAGAAAUAAUCUCUUAACUCCUAGUUCUUGCUGACCCAAGAAAGGAAGACCAUACUUGAGAAUUGUCAAAUGCAGAACUUUAAGAUUUUAACUUAUAGAACCCGUAGAAUUGCAGUAUUUGCACUCGUUUCAAUUGUUCUGGAAAAUAGGUCCGAGGUCCUUAUAACAGGAUGCAGAUACACUAAGAACUGACUAAAUGUAAUUAUUUGAUAAAAUUCAAAAUACGUAAAAACCCGAAUUAUAAGAUUUCA
rnacentral:misc_RNA from 1 species